rnacentral:rRNA from 1 species
GCCAAAAAUUUAGCCCCAACUUAACUAAUGUCACACAAAAAUCACGUCCAAUUAAUUAAAACAUUCUAGCACUUCAGUAACGGCGAUUGAAAAACUUUUAGGAGCAAUACAACACAGUACCGCAAGGGAAAAAUGAAAUAAUAAUGAAACAACUAUCAAGCAUAAAAAAGUAAAGAUUAACGCUUGUACCUUUCGCAUCAUGGUUUAACUAGUCUAAUCAAGCAAAAUGACUUAAAGUUUGACCCCCCGAAACUAGGCGAGCUACUUCAAAGCAGCUUUAUGAGCAAACCCGUCUCUGUUGCAAAAGAGUGGGAAGACUUUCAAGUAGGGGUGACAGACCUAACGAGCCUAGUGAUAGCUGGUUACUCAAGAAAAGAAUUUAAGUUCAGCCUAAAAUUAGUUAAAUAAAACAAAAUAACCCUCAUUUUAGAGCAAUUCAAAUAAGGUACAGCCUAUUUGAAAAAGGACACAACCUCAUCAACCGGGUAUUUACCAAAUAUAGCUCAACAAAGUGGGCCUAAAAGCAGCCAUCCUUUAAAAAGCGUCAAAGCUUAAUCGAGCCAUUAACUAAUACCAACAUUAUUUAAGAACCCUUAUAAACUACUGAGUAAUUCUAUACCUCUAUAGAAAAUUUUAUGUUAAAACUAGUAACAAGAAGAAGAACUUCUCCUACAAUGCAAAUGUAAAUCAGAUAGGACACCCCACUGAUAAUUAUCACCAGUGAGUAGAAAGUAGCAACCUAACAAGAAAACUCUACUACACCAUAUGUUAACCUGACACCAGAGCAUUACAGGAAAGAUUAAAAGAAAAAGAAGGAACUCGGCAAACAUUAACCUCGCCUGUUUACCAAAAACAUCGCCUCUUGCAAAAUAUAAGAGGUCCAGCCUGCCCAGUGACUCUGUUCAACGGCCGCGGUAUCCUAACCGUGCGAAGGUAGCGUAAUCACUUGUUCUUUAAAUGAGGACUAGUAUGAAUGGCACCACGAAGGUUAUACUGUCUCCUCUUUCUAAUCAGUGAAACUAACCUCCCCGUGAAGAAGCGGGGAUAAUUACAUAAGACGAGAAGACCCUAUGGAGCUUUAAAUUAUACAACACCUGCUUUAACCCACUUAAAUUUCAGAAAACCAUUACUUAUUUCUGCAGGAUAAUUGUUAAUUUUAGGUUGGGGUGACCGCGGAGUAAAAAACAACCUCCACAUUGAAGGGGGGUAACCCCCUUAGCUUAGAGCCACACCUCCACGCACCAACAAAAUGACAUUAAUUGACCCAAUAUAUUGAUCAACGAACCAAGUUACCCUAGGGAUAACAGCGCAAUCCACUUUAAGAGCCCCUAUCGACAAGUGGGUUUACGACCUCGAUGUUGGAUCAGGGUAUCCCGGUGGUGCAGCCGCUACCAAAGGUUCGUUUGUUCAACGAUUAAAACCCUACGUGAUC